rnacentral:lncRNA from 1 species
UUAGGAUUUGAUUAAGGUUUGAUUAGGAUUUAGAAUUAAAUUAGGGUUUAGGAUUCAAUUUAGGAUUUUUUUAAGAUUUAAGAUUUAGGAUUUAGGAUUUUCUUAGGAUUUAGGAUUUGGCUUAGAAUUUGAUUGAAGUCCAUUAGGAUUUCAUCUAGGAUUAAAUUAGGACUUGAUUGAGAUUUAUUUAAGUUAUAUUUUUAUUAUUUUAAUAUUUCUUUAGGACUUCUAAGGAAAUUCUUUUAAGAUUUAUUGUGGAUUUCUUUCAAACACCUUUAAGAUUUUUUAUUGUUUCUUUUGUAAUUUCUUUAAGAUUUCUUUUAAAUUUAAUUAAAGCUUAUUUAGUAUUAUUAAGGUUUAAUUAGAUUUUAUUUAGAAUUCUAUUAGAAUUAAGAUUUUAUUAUUGUAAUUUCUAUUCUACUUUCUACAGCUAAGUGCCAAGUGCAUUCUUGAGUAAAACUUCACAUAAUAUGACAACAUCAUAAUACGCCUAUGCUGCGGGCUUUUGUAAUCCAAACAUUGAUGGUUCACCACAUCUUUUGAACAUUGCAAGCUCUAACGGGGUAACUUGAAUACAAUCAUUGCAAUCUUUUUUCUUGUUUAGGCCAACUUCAAUUGACCAACGCCACAACUUUGGUAUUAUGAUGUUUUGGCUCACAACAUUGCAAUUCCGUGCUCUAAUAUUUGUGCUCCACUACCACCUUGUGAUUGUCAAGCACCGUGACUCCGAGCUCUGACCAUGUGCUCUACUAUCACCUUACAGUUCUAUAUUGCAAUUCUAGUGUUGUCUUAUAACUUUGCCUUGCCAUUGUACAAUAUGUACUACCUCCAACAUCCAAUAUUUUUAUAUUUCAUACUAUACAAUAUUUGUGAUGAUUAAUGUGGCUAUAUAUAAUAGUGCAACAGUACAACCGAGCUAAAUUCCACUGCCUAGGAUAAUAGUGCUCAAAAUCCAAUAGUAAAAUAAGCCCAAAUUAUUUUUUAUUUUUUAUUUUUUUUAAUCUAUUUCAUUCUAACAUGCUUUAUGACAAAUUCAAGAAAAUGAGAAAUUCUUUUCAAGUGAAAGAUUAGAAAUCUACACCAAACUAAAUCAAGCUAUCUCUAAUACCACUAAAGGAGAAUCGAAGAGUGUAAGUGUGAAAAUAAAAAAUAAAAAAAUCCUAAAACUUUACUAAAAUGGCUAAAAUACCAUAAUCAAGCAAAUCCUUCCAAUAAGUUUUUACUCUCAAAAUCAUUCACAAGACUUCAUUGGAUAAGAAUGUCAAAUCAAGGAUUUUUUUCCAUUUAAAUACUUAAGUCAACUAAUAGAAAAACUAUCAAUGGAUGAAAAAUUACUAAUCAAAGUAAACUACAGACAUCUCAUGAGAUUUGACACCUAGUGCCAUAUCACGUGAUAAUUUAAUUUUUUAAAAUUGAAACAAUUAAUAAAAUAAUUUUUUUUAAAUAAAAUUUACAAACUUCUUUGAUACUAUUUUGUAUUUUUGACCACCAAUCAUAUCUAAGAAUAUGUAUCAUAUCAAUACAACAAGAAUAUCAUCUAAAAAUUCUAUCUUUUUAUUAUUAUUAAAAUUAAAAUUAUUAACUUUUAUAGUUGGUUUAAUUAAAAUAGAAAGUCUUUUAAGUUUUUUUAAUUAUUUUUUAAAAAAAUUAUUCAUGAUUAAUUAUUAAAUUUAAUUGCUUCAAGUUGAUGCAAUUAUUAAAAUUUACUUUUUAAUAGCAUGUAAGGUCAAUAAAGCAUCUUAAUAACAUCUUUAUUUGUUCACAAUUGCUUCAUGUUAAACCAAUGAUAUCUAUACCUCAAAUGUAUUACUUGCAAUCUUUAUCUUUCUAAUAGACUUUAAAAUCCUAAUAUUUUUAUAUUUUUGAUAGCAUAUAUGAAUCUAAGGACAUUUCUUUUAUAUUCUUAUAUCCAUAAAACUGUAAUUUCUUUAAAUUCUUAAUGCAUAUAAAGCUUGUGCAUAUAUUUCUUUUCAAUUUGGUAUAUAUAUACAUAUAUAUAUAUAUAUAUAUGUAUUAGAUAAUAUUAUUAAUGUGUAGAGCCAAAUCUAUACUCGCAAUAAAUUUGAGGGAGGUUAGAAGGAGAGGCAAGUAAAAGAAAUUUUUAUUUUUAACUUUGAAUGUAUUAGAUUUUUCUUUUUGGUAAUGAUGAUGUUCCAAGUCAAAUGCUCCUCGUGCAAAUUUGAAAGUCUCCUUCUUAGAUUUUAUUUCCUCAACUUCUUCUUUGGUGUCUUUCUCAUUUAAUUAUAUAGGUGAAUUUCUAAAAUAAUAUUUUGAGUAUAUAGUUUAUAUAUAUAUAUAUAUAUAUAUAUAUAUAUAUUCUUUAAAUUUUCAUAUAUUUCUAUAUAUAUAUUCUAAUGAUAUUUAUUUUUUUUAUUCUAAUAUAAAUUUUUAAGAUUUAAUAUUUUUUAUUAUUAUAUCUGAAAUUUUAAAUGCAUCAUAUUAGAUUCAGCAAUAAAUUAACUUAUUUUUUUAAUAUUUUUAGUGCAUAAAACCUAAGAAUAUUUUUAUUUUAUCUUAUUGGAUUAUUAUGACCUUUUUAAAGAAGUUGAAUCUUUAAUCACUUUAAUUGACAAGAUAGAUAUGAUAUUGUCAGACCUUUGUACUACCAUGUCACUUCAAAUGAAAUCUUUAGUUUUAAAUCAAAUUCUUCUUGCAUCUAUAAUAGUUUACAAGAAAUUUCAAAUUUAUAUGUUAUCAUUUGCAAAAAAAUACAUUACAAAUCAAUAUAUUCUUUACAAGCAUAGGCUCUAUAUACAAACUUUUAUUACAAUAUACAUGCCAUCAUGUUAAAGAAUUUAAUAGAUUUCACCUUAUACCUUUUGCAUAAACUUAGUAAAUAAUUUUUUAUUUUUUAUCCAUCUUAUAUUUUUAUAAAAAUCUUCUUUGGAAAUUCUUUAAUCCACUAUAUGGUAAUUAUAGAUGCUAAAUUUACAAAGUUGUCUACUUUGAUAAAUAACUCAUUUUUAAACCUCGACUAUAUUAGUAUCUUAGAAAUUGCAUUAGGAAGUGAUUACAAAAUCAUUAGUUCUUUCACAAAGCACCAAUGUUUUUUCAUUGAUUAGUUAGAUUAUUGCCACAACAAAUCUAUCACAACAAUUUAUUUUAGUUAAUAUGAACUUUCUAUAUAAUGUAAGAUAUAUUUGCACACAAUUGCAUGUUUUCCAACAAAUUAUCAAUAUUUUAACCCAAUUCUUUACUAAUUUUCUUGAGAAUGUUGUUAUGUAGAAAUCACUUAUUUUUAGUUGAGAUAUGCAUCAAAGUAUUGCAUCCAUUUAGAUUGACUCUUGAACAAAUAAUGUCAUAGAAUUGUUUUGAUAAAAAAAGAUCAAGAUUAUUAUUACAAAUAUUGGUAAAAAUUUAAAUGUAAGUUGCAAAAUUUGUGGUCUUUUACUAUUAUUUUAAAUAUAUAUAUAUAUAUAUAUAUAUAACCAUGUACUUUUCUAAAUAUUUCUAAUCCUUUGCAAUGAAAGAGGAUUUUUAAAAACUCAAAGAUAAUGUGUUACAAACGUUUUGAAAAUACAACUAUUUGACUUUGGUUGGAUGAGAUAGUUUUGUUAAACUGUUCAUGAAAAGAUUAUUAAAAGUUAGCAGGUGGUUAACAUGGUCAUUGAUAGCAUUCAAAAGUUAACAUGAGUCAUGUUUUGAACAACAUUCCCCAGGUUGCUUUAGCAUGGAUUGGUAUUGUGUACAUAUACAACAUCCUUGACUCACUUGGUAUCGCUGUUGUGCAGUCCUUGCAUUGCUCUCUUAAUAUCAAAUAGAUGCGACAUAUCGCCGGACCAGAUCUUUUGCCAUCUACAAGCCACGCUGCUUUAAGAAAUCAGUCAUCCCUCAUCACCAGCACCAAUUCCUUGUCUCACUCACACCUGCAAACAAAGAUCAAUAUGGAGGAAUCAAACUUGGGACUUAUCAGAAAGGAUUAUUUGAAGGCCUUGAAGUGUUACUCAGGCUACUGUAUCAGUAUUACUUACAUGCACAAGGUACAGGUGAUAGUUUUCGAUCAGUAGCUCUAGACUUGUUUGAGUAGCUGUAAAUGUGCUUCAUGUUUUCUUCAGCGCGGACAAACCAUUUCUUUAGGGACAUGGUUUUAUAGAGAUAUGGAAGAAGAAAGCAGUCCUGAAUUUCAAGCAGGAAAUCAGAUCCCCCCCCCCCCCCCAGACCCUUCUGAUUUUUAACAGCUAACGUUUAGUUGUAACCAUGAUACGCAUGAAGACUUCACUGAAUGAAUCAGUCCAUGAAGUCCAUACCCUUCGAUUGCUAUGGGACAAUGCGAAAUCACGUCAAUAAGAAUUGUCUCAGAAUCUCACUACCCAGCUCAGUGGACCAAUAUUAAGGCUGUAAUCAAAAUGGAAAUCAAAAAACCUUAUAAUCAGUUUUGCCCACGUUGUUCGGCAUAUGCAGGGAACACGAGGUUGAUAUCGCUUGAAAGCAGCAAGUUCACCAAAUACUUACGAAUCUUCUUCUUAUGUUGCAGAGUGAUCCGGUACGUAAGAUCUUUCUAGUAUCUUACCUAACUGCUCUUGAGUAUAGGUCUGAGUCGAAUCAAUCUGCAGGCAUUCCAUAAAAAUCAGCAUACAGAUGAGCAAAAACUCAAUAAAGUCAACAUCGUAAAUAAGAUAAAUGCAGAAUAAGAUCUAACUCCAUAGCACUUAAUCUUCCAUUUGUCUGCUGUCAGCGCACCUUGACAAUCACGACGUGAAGAAGCAUAUCCUUCAUGGAUGAAGUGUUUGAAUGUAUAACCUCUAAGCGUAGCUUUUCCAAUGCCGACAUCAUAUGAACUAUAAAGUUAGAGUGUCUUGUGCAAUAAACUCGAAUCAUAGCUUCUUCUCCAAGAACAAAAACACUAAUUACAGGUUUAUUUUCAGAAGUGUGAACAAGAGGUGCCGAUCUCUGACCACUCUCUUGAAGUCUGAAACGUUCUUCAUCAGAACUUUCGGUCGAAUCCCUGCGAGAUGGAUUAGGUUUUUUAGAUUCGCCAGUUGAUGCAAGCACUUGCCUUUGGAAAACCUUCAAUUCAGCCUCUGCUUUUUGUAGCUUUUCUUGAAGCUCAUUAAUGUAGGUAAUGGCAUCUUCUAAUAAGGAUGCCUUAUCCAUCUGUCAUAUAAGAAUACAGGGAUACAAAAAGCAGCCAUUACAUAAUGCCGAAGGAGCAAACCAUCGAUGCAACUAGCUUGCGAAGGUUAUAGUACGACAAAUAUUCUCAAAACAAAAACGAUUAAUAUUCUUUGUAGACAUAUACAUGUAAUGGGUUGCUGAUUGAAAAACGCAUAACUGAGAUGAACACAUUACCUUGGACACGUUUGGCACUACAGACCGUAGAGCAUAAAAUUUCUGAUUGAGUUUUUCUCGCCGCUGCCGUUCAGCUUGCACAUGAUUUAGUGGCUCUUCCCUAUCGUUUGCCGGCUUGCGCCCUCUUUUGCGUGGUUUAGGCUCGAGAUUUGUACUUGAUUCCACAACAUUUUCUUUGACGGAAACGUCGGCUUCUGAUUCAUGACAAUCUACCUCGGACGGAGCGAAACAUGGUAACCUAUUUGCAGUGGUAGGAGGUCCAGGCAUUCCUCUCUGACCUAUCUUAGAAAGGUGGUGGAAAGAUACUGACUUCCCUACAAUAUAUUUAUUAUCAACCAAGUUUGUUUCUGGAGUGUCCGAGCUCAAUUCUUCCACCCGUGGUUUGUAGAACCUCAUCGGGGGUCUUGACGAGGGUGGAUUCUUCCUUCCAACAAAAUGUGCUUCAUGAUCUUGACUUGGAUUUGAACAUCUGCCAAUCUGACUUGCAUUUGAAAUUGAAGCACUUAUUGUUGCUAUUGACAUAAGACUUGGGCUUGACGGUCGCAUACUAGUCGCGUCGCUACUCAAAGGCAAGGAAUGCGCCACCGCUUGGAUUUCAUGGGCUGCCCACAUCAUUGGUUCAUCAAAAACCAUCUUGACAUUCUGAACAACUUCCCAGCUUUCUCUGAUCUACCAAGGCCAAAUGUAAUGUUGUUUAACGACAUGAGUAAGAUCUCAUUGAAUCUCUGUAAUUACUAGCAUAAUUUCAACGAGCACAUAGUGAAUCGAUAUCAGUCACACUCAAAUAACUUGAUAAAUGUCUCUUGUGCUGAUGCACAACCAAAAUGUCAAAUCAAAUUAAUUUGGAGAGAUUCAUCGUUAGAUACUUGCCAGAUCUGUCGAUCCAAGCUCAACGACACCAGAUUUCGACGGAAUACAAAGGAUUGUCUGAAGGAUCAUCUCACAAAAGUGAAGUUAACACGUGACCUCGUUUGUGAUCCAUGUACCAAUCCGAGAGUAGAUUAAUUCCUUCACUAGCAAAGCCUCGUAACGCACAAUGCAAUUCUAAGAACUUGCCGUGAGAUAAAUGCAGAGCUACAUACAAACAGUCGGUAUCAAUAACUCAUGUUCAAAGACUUGGUAUCAUUUCGAACUCAAUAACAAAAUAGUGGUAGGAAACUUGAAUGUAUGUACCUGAAUUCCAGCCAUCUGUCCUUGGUAAAGCACCAGAUGUGAAUUCAUGCCAUCAAACAGCAAUUAGUCAGUUCACAAUUCUCGCUCCUACCUCACUCCAAUCAGAAUUUCAAUGACUCCCAUUGAAUGUAAUAGUAUAAUUGCAAGUUCAAUUUAAACUUUCAGAACGAGCUUGAGUUUUAACACUUGCAGCUUCAGAUAUUCCACAAUUCUCCACAUUAUUAACAAGCAUUGACAGCAGACUGAACGUUUGCAAGCAUCUGAGGACAACUCAAGGUAAAAAAAAAUAGAUCUUUUGAUGAUAAGGUGGAUUGGUUCAUUUCUAAAACUAAAAUGCGCAAAUUAUAUAUUGUAUGAUUACAUGUUAUUUUAUAAGUUCUUGAAAUUAAUUUAAAAUCAGUCGAAAUCACAAAAAAUAACAGAAGGAAAGUAUUACAUAUGUUUAGAAGUUGAAUAUAAAGGUCAUGAGUUUCAAUAUCAAAAUAUAAAAUUUCUUAUUAAAUAUGCAAGUCUUCAUUUUAAACCUUAAUUAAAUACUUUUACGAAUCACGAAUCCUGAAAAUUUAUUCUGUUGUAGCAAUUUCGCAUCCAAAAAUAUGUAUAUAUUAAAAAUUACAUUGUAUAAACCAAUUCCAAAUGCAAAUGAAAUUCGGUUAGUUUUUCGAAAUAAGUCGAAGUUAAAUGUUGAUUUUAGUUUUAGAAUCUGAUUCCAUUCAGGGAUUCCUUAGAUAUUUGUCAAAAUCAAUUACUUUUAUAAUGUUGUGCUUCCACUCCGGUCUUUCAUGGGGACAGUGCAACGUACAGCACAAAGUAGUCUCAUAAAUAACAGUUGAUCUCAAAGAAGAUUCUUUCACACAUGGGAGAGAGUGUUCCCAUUUUUAGCAACUUUGCAGGGAUUCUUUUUUUGAAUCGAUGGAACCACAAGGUCAUUUUCUAGCAUAAACAUGGGAACUUACAAAAAUUUCAACAUCUCGACCACCCGCAUUGUUCGUUCUGAAUGGCAAACAAGGAUUCAAAGUAACUGGCAAGUAAACUGAACUGUGUACCUUAGCCAAUUGAACACGACUGCAGUUAUUAUCAGGAGCUUUGUUCGCUCCAAUUAGCCACACAGGUCUGUCAGAUGCUAAUGCUCGUCCAGGAGUCCUGCAUGAAACGUAAUUUGUGUGAGACAAACCUAUGAAUAACUUCCUGCUCUACAGAAUGACCCAAAAUCCUGGAGCCUGUAAAGUGAACACAAAUAAAAAAAUUCGAAUGAGGACUCCAGUGUAACUCAGCAACCAUGCAGCAUUUCAAAGCGUUGAAGCGUGAAAAGUUUAAAUACCCCACUCCGGCUGCAUAAGAAUGAGACAUCGAAACAAGGUAAAACCAUUCCGUAUCCGUGACAUAGUCGCUAACAUCAUCUUCAGAGCCAUUGACUAGAGCCUGCAGCUCUCGCAACACCUUUCGCCUCAUCUGUUGAUCCUCCUCUUGAGAACCACCCUUCAUGUUCCUCGCGUCGUUGAUUUCAUUCUCCUUAGCACUCCUGAAGUACCCAUCACCCCAACCGAGCAUCCUACAAACAAUAUCAUAGAUUCAGGAUCAAGUGUAUAUGAGACCAAUUGGCAAGUUCAGGAGAAUCUAGCUAGCAAUGACUGCCUUGAGGUACCACGAUACAGGCUGCCCCAUGAUACAGGAUGCUGACUACAAACUUUAACAUCGCCAAACCUCGAGCCUGAAACAUUGGUAGCGACUCUAACCUUGCAUCAACGAAUGUUCUUUCGUUAGAUUGAAUCUAGUAGACAACGUGUAGGGCGUCUUUUCUCCAAGAACCAGGAAAAAUUCGUCAACUACUACCGCGUUGCAAAAGGUGUUCAAAGAAUGAUAGAUUAUCGGGAAUAUUCUAGAAAAUGAGGGUUGUUGCUUCUGAUUGUCAGCACUCAGCGAGUGCGUAGAUCGAGCGAGAAGUCAGUCUGAAAGUUCCCCGUCAUAAAGGAUGUUCGAGAUGGUAAAGUUUUAAAAAAGCGUUCGGAACACACUCACACAUUGUUGAGUGUUCUAGACGCGUUACACGUCCGGGAACCGAGAUUGACAAGAUAGUCCAUUUGGUGAAAUGGACGAUGUAAAGCCUGAUCGGAGCUGCUGAUAAACAAACCUUGUCAGGGUGCAUUACAACGAUUUUGCGCUUCCAAAGUCGAGAGGAAGCAUCCGAACGAAGGUAGAAAAAACUAUUAAGAAUUUCUUUCGACUCCGUUACAGUCGAACUGGUCACGCAAAGCAUCGUACGUCUUCGAGAUGAAUACGUCAAAUUCUUACCAAGAAAAAACUAGAGUCUCGGAUAAUCGAUGCCUGUGUCUUUAUGCUGCAUUGCGUUCUACAAAUUCUACGUCUUUGCUAAGUUUCCAAACCGAAAAGGUCCAUGACAUAAUUGUUUCAUAUGUAAUAACUUUAAAGCUCAAUUACAAGCUAUAAUGAAGUCAAAAGAAAUAGCUGACAAAAAUGUAAAUUCAAUGGAUAAGAUCCAUUUCCCUUACAUCUCCCCUUCACGUAAGGCUGACAGCUGCCAAAAGAUUGCAUACGUCCAAUCCACGGUACUCUCUUCGACCAGCGAGUGCAGCCUCCGCAGCAACACCGACUCGUUCAAGUGGAGCUGCCCGUCCGGAUCAUCCUGCACUUCGAAGCCUUCCACGCAGUUAUACCCCGUUCCCAUGAACGCCUCGAUCAUAGCUGAGUCCGCUACUUCCCACGCAUUCAAUAACUGCGACAUUUCCAUUUCCGCGCGUCCCCUAACCCCCUCCUCCAACCGAUCGAUCCUCAACACCGACUCCAACAACAAACACCUGCAGCACGCUCACAGUCCACUUUCAUGCAUCGACUCUACCUCUCACGUCGCUCAUCUGCUUCAGCCAUAAUCGUGGCUUCUGUGAGACGAUUCCUCCUUCCUGCCCUGGAUUCCCAUCCAUAUUUCUCCGCCAACAAAAUCUCAAACCACAAGCGCACAAGCAGCUCAUUACCGUUCAUCACAGACAACACUCCAAGGAUGCAUCUCCACCACCUCUUCUCUCUCGCUCCCUCUCUCGCGCCCGCGCGCGACCGCGCGAUUUCGCUCGUUCUAACAACCCUUCAAAAACCCAAACCUACGCCCAAACUCCACUUCACAAUCCCGCCUCCGCCCCCGCUCUCGUCCAAACUCUUCGAAGCUUCUUCAAUCUAGAAUGACGACGUAGCGCACAUUCCUUCAAACAUCGUACCAACUCGUUGACAACACCACAAGGCGGGCCUGCAUCCCACGUCCUACGGGGACCACGUGACGCACGACAUGACGUCGGGGUCACGUCACAAUGAACGCAAACCAGGGAAAAAAAAAACGUCCGGCGCCACUUCUGCCGUGUCGUCAGUGCCAUGGCCAUGGCCCCUACCAGUAGUACCAGUACCUUUUUCACCCUCCAGUACCACCACCAGCGGGUCCCUGCGCCGCUGCUGCGACUUUUGUGCCUCUCCCCCUCGCUCCUCCGAUCGGGGUUUCCCCGGUGCCGUGACACUUCCGAAACCAAGCAACGCAGGGUUGAAGGCUGCUUCGUUCACUCCCGUCCGAUCCUUCUCCCUCUCUCCCUCCGUCCCAGCUACGCCAACGUCGCUACUCCAGCGCCACAAUGUGCAUGGUCGGAUCCAUCAUCAUCGCCGUCGCCAUUCCGAUGGAAACGUCGCGACAACGGACUGGAACCAUCGCCUCCGACGAUCCUCCACAGGUAAAAGAUUCCCUGCUGCUCUGCUGCGUCUCGUUUGGAUCCCCAUUAGGGUUUCGUUUCGCCCCUCGUCGCCUUGCCAAUUCCAUAUAGAAUCGACGCUGGCUUUUGAACUCCGCUCCCACCUUCCCCAAAAUUCCAUCUCGGAUUGUGCACGAGAUCUUGCAUUGUUUGAAAUUCUUUGCCUAAUUCCAGACUUUUUAACGUCAAAUAUUUUGGCCUUGCCAUGUGUUUGAGAAAUCUUGUAGUCUAACUUUAACCAUAAACUUCUGUGCAUGAUUUUUUGUCGCAUGAUUUUCUAAACGAUGUUUUUAAUUUACACAAUUGACAAUGUUUCUUAAAACUCAUUAAAUAAAAAUAAAAAAAGUAUUGCUACUUGACAUAUUACAUUACAUGAAAGUACAUGAGUUUUAUAUAAAUAUAUAUAUAUAUAUAUAUAUAUAUUUAUUUAUUUAAACAUGAAGAUAUAAUCGUAAUGGCAUAUUUUUUUGUAUACAAAUCAUAGCAAUUACUUAAAAAAUAUUGUUCACAUUUUUCUAAAAUUCAAGUCAUAAUACUUUGAUAAUCUUAUUUCAAUUAUUCUGUUACCAUUUUGUGUAUACAUUUAUACACAUUGGGAAAUAAAAAAACGUACUAAACAUACAAGGGAAUAAAAUUUGUCAGAAUAGAUUAUUAAAGAAGAGAGUACUUACACCACUCACCCACCCAAUAUAGGACAAAAGUAUCUUUUAAAUAUGAUUAUUAUGAAAUGAGAAGUUUAAUUUUAGUAUGAAUUUUAGUAUUAGUUCAUUAUUCGUUUUGUCAUUGAAAUCCAUGGCCACCCAAUCCUCCGAAGUCAUAUUUUGUGGGAAUUGACCCACAAACUUGUCAGACAGACAAAUGAGGACCCUCCUCAACCGAGAUAGAGAGAAUGAACGCCACUAGGGUUCCGAACUCUGCCACAUGCCGUCGUCACCGAUCACGUCCUCCAAAUCACCUCAGGACCCAGUAAUAUCAUGGCAGAUACUUCGGCAGCCCACAUCCAAUUGAUGAAUGUGAGACACGACGGAUGAAUUACUAAUAUACUUCAUCUGUAUGUGAGCAUUCAUCAAUUUGUUCGUUCAUAUAUUCAUUCAUUCAUCCAUGUGCAGUGUUUCCAGAUCGCGAGUCCCUUUAACUCUUGAAACUCCACCGCGUUAUACGAAACUCACCUCUCUUGGUUCAAGAAGAGAUUUUUUGGAGUUUGCAUAAAUUUAAUUUAGAAAAUUUAAUUCUAAUGCCAUGAAGAAUAAUUUAAGUCCGUGAUCAUGCUGAAUAAUUAUUUCAAUGCAUCAUUUUCUUUUUCUUUUUAAAUCACUUUUAUGUCAUAUUGAACAUGCAUGAACUUAAGAACAUGUCACGAAUGACUUCUAAACUUCUACAAAAUUAAAUAUAUUUGGGUGUCACAUUAUUUUUGAAAUUGCAAAUUUUAAUAUUUUUCAAGAUUUUCAAUGACUACUUUGAUUUAAGUUCUUAAAUCCUUUUUAACAUAGUUUCUAUUUGAAAUCUUCCUUUGUAUACUUUUUUACUAAUAUUAUAUUUUUGGCUUUGAAUCAAAUUACUAAAAUGAUGCCUUUUUUUUUCCAAAAUCCAAUGUCUUAGACAUCGAGACAUAAAAGUGUUACAUAUUUUUAAAACUAAUUACAAAAAUAUAAUGUUAUUUCAUAACUAUAAAGUAAAAUUAAUUAAGAUUGAAGACGAAUUUUUUUUGAUGAGGAUGAUGAAGAAGUUAGAAAACUUGGCAUUCUGAAUAAAGUUAGGAUCUGAAUGAAUAGAAGUAUUAACCCAUUUUAAUUGGUAACCUCUAUUUUAAUUAAAUGCAUAAGUACUUAGUGAAAAAAUUCUUCAAGUCAAAUAUAGUUUUGUAAGAUACAGUAAAAUCAAACAAGUUUAUAGCUGUGUGUGUAUGUAUGUAUGUAUAUAUAUAUAUAUAUAUAUAUCCAACAGAAAGUUAUUAAAAUAUGUGUUUUAGGUAUUCUGGUCAGAAUUUAAAUUAAAUCCACUUUCUCCAUUAAUUUUUCUUAAAUACCUAUUAAAUAAGCAUUUUUAUCAUUUAUAGUCAUGUUUCUCAAUAGAAAUUACUAAGUUUUUCUAGUUUUUACUAUGUAUUUUAUUGAUUUCUUUUUCUAUCAUGAUAUUUUUUAGUUUCAAAGUUGUAAUUAUUUACCUUCACAAUAUUUUCUGAAAUUACACAACUUUCAAAUGAACUGAUUAUAAUGACUGACUCUACUGGCGUUAUUUUAUUAGUAAUUUGUUUUAAAUUCUGUCUCUAUAUUGAUUAUAUUUUUAAAACUAUAUGUGGAUAACUACUUUAUUGAAUGUAUGUAUGUGUUUCUAUACAUAUAUAUAUAUAUAUAUAUAUUGAAUAGUCUAUAUUUAGUGAAUUUAACAGGAAUAUCAACUUCAAUAAUGUCAUGAGAUAAGACAAAUGAAUAAUUGAGAUACACAUAAUACAUCAUGUAACCAGAACAUCACACUUCUGCAAUAGUCUCAAACCAGGAUGUCAUCUGUAGAAAAUCUCUUACCCAGUAAAAAAAAAUUAUAUUUUCUUUUAUGAUCCUUUAUGUAAUGUAUAUAACUAAUCACAAAAAAUAUGAUAUGUACAACCUAAGAAUUUUAAGCUUUCAUCUAUCUUAUCUUUCUGCAUGUACAGUUAAAACCAAUGUUUUUUUUAGAAUUUAUAUGACCAAUUUUUCUUUUAAAAUGAAAUGAUGGAAUCAAAGAAUAAAAAUAUAUUUCCAUAAAUAAUACCACAUGCCUUAUUCCAGACAUAAUGCUGCAGUCAUUGCAAAAAGUCACAACAAGUGGCUUGCUGUAUUAAUAUUUUGGGGCUAGAAAAUCCAACAAGAAUUUAAUUUAUCCUUUCUAACAACCACACCAAUUAUUUGGAAGAGUCAAGUGGAUAUGCAUCACAAAGAUUCUUUACCUUGGACCAAGUAUAGGAGACUCAUUUUUUAUCUCUUAUUUAUUUGCAAAACCCAAUUACAUAUAUAUAUAUAUAUAUAUAUAUAUAUAUGUUUUUAAUUUAAUGUUAUUCAUAAGGUUGUUUACACUUUGAUGAGAGAUCUACUUAAGGUUUUGGUGUACAGUAACAACCAUAGGCUAUAAAAGUAAGCUAAUUUGAAGAAGUUGUACCCGUCAUUCCAUGUGCCCAUGCAGAUAUGUAUUUAAAAAAUAUAAUUCUAUUUUAUUAUUACUUGGUCUCAAAUGGUCUAAUGGUCAGCAAUGGGCUUGUGAAUGGAUGUGUGGCAAGAAUGUCCACAUGUUUGACCAAUUCCAUUCUUUUCUUUUUAUCAUGACUUAGUGCCCUCAAAACUCCAUUCAAUCACACACACAUAUAUAUAUAUAUAUAUAUAUGUGUGUGUGUGUGUAUGUGUGUAUGUGGGGAAGUGUGUGAGAGGUCAUUCUAGAAUAAAGGUUUUAGAUAAUUUAUUGUUUUGAUAAAGGUUUGGUGGAACUCUCAUUCUUGAUCUCUUGCUCAUCAAAGUCCUACUUGGACCAACAAUCAUUCUUACACUUAUAUGAUUGUGUGUAUUAAAUAAUCUUCAAUCAGUAUAAGAAGAAUUAGUAGAAAAAUAUUCCAUAAUAAUAAUUAUAAUAAAAUGUAUAAGAUAAUUGUAAUUGUUACUGUAAACAUAAAAUAAAAUAAACUCAUACUUAUUUAAUUAAAAUGUAUUUGCUUUGUUAUAAUAUAUUAAAUUACAUGGGAUAGAGCUUGUUGUUCAAGCCAUGUUUUGUUUAUGCUCUGUGUACCAUCUUCAUUGCUUUGAAACAUUUUAUAGUUGUAUGGUGUUGACAAAAUAUAAUCAUGAAUGUGUAUACUAAUAUAAUAAUAAUAAUAAAAAACAAAAACAAAUCACACAAAAAAUGGCAUGGAUAAAAUUAGAUUAAAAAUUUUAUGAAAAAAACUUGGCUCUACAGGAAGGAAAAAAAGAAAAAAAGAAAAAACUUGAAAUCAAUUUUUUGUAUUUUACAAAUUACAAAAAUAUGUUUGAAGUCAAGUUUGUGUAACAUGGUUAUGAUGAUGGAUAAAUUAUACUUAUAUAUAUAUAUAUAUAUAUAUAAAUCCUUCAAUUCACCUUAAUAUGAAUUGCAGUGUGCAACUUAAACAUUAAUAUUUUGGAGAUUUUGGACAGAUUACUACAAAACAUAACAAGCGUAAAAUUGGUGAAGUUUUAUUGAAUCAUUAGCCCCUGCAAAAUUUUCAAGCCUCAAUCCAACAUAGAGUGUGUUAAAUAAUACUAAAUGUAUUCCAAAAUCAAGCCAAAAAAUCACAGUAUUUUCUGGUAAAAUUGACCAACAGUGAUGCUCAAGCUUAAUUUUUUAUUGUAUUUGAUUUCUAUUUAUUUAAUGAUUCUACAUUUGUCUCCUUCAAUUUAUUUUAUUUUAUUUUGGAGGGUAGCCUUGAGUGUUUCUUCAAUGCUUUUGAGUUGCAUAUAUAUCAUGCCUUGUGUCAUACUAGAUAGUAAGCCUUGUUUAAACCAUGAGGUUUGGAUGGAGUUAUGGAGAAUAGUGUCAAGUUUUUCUACAUGAUCUGUAAAUUGGUCUAAAUAAUCUUCCACUGUCUCAUGACUUGCUUUUUUGAUUUUUAAUAACUCCAAUACAAUGUUGUCAUUGGUUUUCAUGCACUAGAAACUUUUUACUAAGCUUAGUUCAAAGUCUUCUCAAGUAGCCUUGGAAUGCCUAUAGAUAAAUGAUAAAAACCAUGGUUGAACAAUACUUAAGGCAAGCCAACUACCGCAACUAUAGAAUUGGACAAAGAAAUCAAAUGCAAUACAAUCUAUCAACAAUGCAACAAAAGACUGAGCAAUUGAUACCUAUAAUUUGGUCCAUGUUUUGAAUAUGGAAGAAAUUAUUGAAUCAACCACUAUGCUCAUAUACGACAAUUAUAGACAAAGUAUCAAAAUUAAGAAAAUAUGCAUCGUGGAAGAAUAACCACUACAAAUACCAAAGAGCCAUAUUUUUUGACAAUCUCAAUAAUACAAGUCAAAUAUGCCAUAAUAAAUACUUGGACUAACUAGCACCAAUCCAAAGUACCUACAAAAGUGGAAUAAAAAUCUUGCCUCUUAUAUAUUAUAGAACAUUCUGAAUUGCUUAAGAAUAUUUGCAAACAAAUAUAAUAGGAACUACAUAUGGAUAAGGCUAUAACGCUACUUGACGCUAAUAAAAUCGCAAUUGGAAAUAUACUCAACAAUAUUGUAGUUACAAUUUGAUUUAUUCAAUUAUUCAAAUUGAACCUUGAAAUAUUGAUAUAUCUAGAAUACAAGGCACGUUCCAAACUAUUAGUGCAAGUGGUUGCAAACUUAAACACCAUAGCCAUAGAUCCUGAUGCCAUAGUUAUUAAGUUUUGUAUUAAAAAAGCAUCAACUAAAUAACAUACUUGUGGAUAGAAGAUCUAGCAUUAAUAUCAUGAUAAAUCACAUCUACAAAUUCUUUGAACUUUUUAAUUUAAAGUAGCUUUAUUUAUACUCCACAUAGAAAAUAAUGCUUCAAUUAAGCUCCUCAAGAUAUUACAAAUUGUAACUAUCACUAUUUAAGAGAUCCAUGCACUAGUUGCAUUUUUAAUAAUUGAGAUGCCCAACAAAAGCCACUUUCUGGUCAUCUUAGAAAUAUUGUAGUGAUGAAAUAUGAACAGAUUUCAUAAUUCGUUUAGCAACAAAAUCACUAUUUAUUUUUAAUAUUAAUAUGUGAGUAUUUAUAUCAAUAGCUAUGCAACUUGAGAAAAAUCCUUGACAAUUAGACAAAUCAUGAGUAAUGACUAAACCUCUAAACUAGGCACAGAUGAAGAAGAGUUUGUAUUUGGACUUGGAUCCUACUCGGUUCCUUGAUACAAAAAUAAACCUUGCAGCCAUAAUAAACAAAAAAUAAUUAAAUACAUCCAUAAAAUUCAUUCUCAAACUUCAACAUGAGUCUUUCAUUAAUAAAUAGUUAAUAUAUAUUAAAUCUAAAGAAAAAAUGAUUAUAUGUUAGUUGUAUAAUUCAAAAGAUAAAAUAGAACUUGUUAAUCUUGGAAUAUCUUUGGAACCCAAAUUUGUCAAAAUAAAUGCGAAUGCAUCUAACAACAUAAAAACUACUACAAUUAUAUUAUUUUGUAAAUAUUAGAAUAUAUUUUCUUAGUCAUAUAAAGAUUUAAAGAUAAUAUUUUCAGAGAUAACAGAGCAUCAAAUUGAUCUUGUUCCAAAUGCCACCUCAAUUUCAAAUAGGCAAUAUCAAAUAAAUUCCAACUAUGUGCAAAUUAUGAAAUAGGGGCUAGACAAAUUCAUAUAAGCCAAAUUUAUUUUAUCCAUGGAUUUUAUUCUAUAGUUGUCACCUAUGGUAAUCAUUCCAAAAAUAUUAUGAACUCUAUAAAUUUGUGUGGAUUUUUAAAGAUUAAAUGCUUCUAUAAAAAAAUGAUCAUUAUUUCUUCUCAUAUAUGGAAGAAAUCAUUGAAGAUGUAGUAGGUCUUAAGAUAUAUAGCUUCAUCAAUUUUUCUUUAGAAUUCUACUCGCUAGCCAUAGCACUAUAGGAUAAAAAUAAAAUGGUUUUUUUUUACAAAAUAGAGACCAUUCUAAAUUGAACAAUUUUUUUUGGUGCAAAAAAUGUACCAAUGAUGUUUCAACGCAUGAUAGAAUUUGUAUUAAAAUCAUAUUUCAAAAACAUCUUUUGAAUAUACCUCAAUGAUAGAACUAUCUAUGGAUCUAUGAAAAAACAUAUCCAAUAUCUACAACAAAUCUUUAAAGUCUAUCAAAAAUACACCAUUAGCCUCAACAUGGAUAAAUGAAUGUUUUUAUUUUUUUCAAGGCUCAUAUUUAAGUAUAUCCUCUAUUAUUUGGAUAAGUUGCUAAAUCUUAAGAAAAUCAAAGAAAUAUAAAACAUGUUCAAAUCUUACAAUCAAAGAAUUAUACAAAGUAUACUUGAAAUUGUUUAAUUCUAUAAGACUUUUAUCAAAAUUUUGGCUUAUAUAUCUCACCUAUAUUUAAUUUUAAUAAAUUCAAGUAUAAAUACAAGCUUCAUUAGAAUGCUGCAGCUGCUAAAGCUUUUAAGGAAGUCAAGAAGAUUCAAGAAGAAGAAAUAGGUAGAAGAAUUAAACAAAAGGAAUUUAGAACAAGUAAGAAAAAAGAAGAAAAGAAGAAAAGAAAAGACCAACAAGUUCAAAUCAUAAUCCAAGGUGAAUAUAUUUUUAACAAAAAUUAUUUAGUUUCAAUUUUAUUUUAUUAAUACAGAUUGUGGAUUGAAAAAAAGGAGAAUGGCUUAGCAAAAUUAGGUGGGUUUCAAACUAGAGCUCUUUAAUUUUAUUUGAAAUUUUAGAUAAGCAAGGAAGGAAUACGGCUUGGCAAAAUUAGGUCGGUUUCAAAUUCUAGCUCUUUAUUUUUAUUUCAUAUUUUAGGUACAUUUAGAAAGGAGCAUGGCGGGACUUGCUAUCUUCAGAUAUUUUCUAAACCCCUUCUAUCUUCUUCUAGUGUAAGUAGACAAAAUCCAUUACAUGACCCAAGAAUUUCUCUACUCCACCUCUUUUUGUAAAAAGAACUUGGUGUGUUGUUGAUAGGUGUUAUUUCAAUUUAUAGUUGUUUUGUAGAAAGUGAAGUCGAGUUAAUAGCCAACAUGACUUUCUUUUGUUGAGCUUAUACUUGUCGGACGUGAUGACCCCUAUGAGACAAAGUUGAAAGUAACAAGUUUUCCUACAUGUUGUCCUUUUUCCGGUCCAUCUAAUUUUUAUAGUAUCCACGUGAUAAAAUUUUAAAUUACUUAUACUCUCCUUGGCUUCAUUUUUUAAUUUCUAAAUUGUAAAUCAAGUCCAAUUAACGGAUGACACCACCAUAUUAAGAUUGGCACAAGAUCUUAACUUGGUAUUUAGUUGGACCUUGUGCAUCACUUGUGAGAAAGGUUCAAUUAUUGAGUGAGAUCACUAAUUUGAGAUCAGUACAAGAUUUAAUCUUAGUAUAUAAUUAAAUUAUAUAUUUUAUAAAUAGAUAAGAAGAAAAAGGAUUUUAUGUUAUUUCACAAAAUAAAAUAAAAAUAAUUUAAAGUUUACUUGUUUUAUUUUUAAUCACCUAUUAGGUCUUUUAUCUUAAAAGAUUCAUUGAAGAGCCAUAUACUUAGUUGUAUGCCACCUAGAAUUGAAUCUAAGAUAGUUAAUCCUUUUUCUACUCGCCUUGUUUUGCGAUCUGGAUGCAUUCUACAAUCUAGAUCAUAUAUUCAGCUUAUAGUUUUAGAAAUCCAUGCAUUAAAAGAACUUUGUGAUAAGAUUUCACAAGCUUCUAUCAAGAUGGAGCAUGGUAGAGGGCAUUCUUCAGAGCUUCAAGUAGAGCCUUUACUAUUUCCAACUCAAAGGGCUAAUAUAGCCAAUGAAGAUAACUACAACUUCGAAGCCAAUACCCAAAUCGAUCCAAUGAUGUUACUUAGGAGAUUACCAAUUGUAGUAUCUUUAAGAUUACAAAGGGCAUCAAUUCCAUCCAACCUCCCAAAAUUUAGUAGAUCUAUCAAUGAAGACCCGACAGCCCAUAUAGAAAGGUUUGUAAAAGUACUUAUUACUAGUUUAGUAACUAAUCAUGGCUACUAUUUAAUAUGGUUUCGAACAACCUUGAUAGAUUUUACAUAUGCUUGAUAUAGAUUCCAUAUAAAAGGAGUAUUUACUAAAUAAAAACAACUUCUAGCAGUAUUUCUUCCUCAAUAUAGGUUCGUAAUUGGCCAACAACAAGUUCUUUCAGCCUUGAUAACUAUUAGACAAGGUCCUUCAGAAAAUAUUAAUUCUUAUAUUAGGUAAUUUCAAAUAGUAUGUACUUGAUAUAUUGACAAAUUUUUAAAUAAAAAUAUUAUAAGGUAUUACUUUAUUCAAGGUUUUGCCAUGCCUUCUAUAAUUUGGGAUAUCCUAAACAAAAGACCUAAAGAUUUAGAAGGAGCCAUUUAAGCCACUUUGGAAGUAGAGGUUAUUGAUAAGAAAAAUGAUUGUAUGCUUCGAAGAUCGGAAGAACCAAUACCCUCCUUUAUGCCUUUGUAACAUUGACCUACAGAAUUCCAUCAACCUCUAGCUUUAAGCUACUCACAACCUUUUAUUUUUUCCUUACCAAUUAGCAAUCCAAUACCUUUAGUUAUACAACCUCUACAUGAUCAAGUUCAAACUAAGACCUUUUAUAAUACUAGAUUAGAAGAAUUUAAAAGUGAAGUAAGGCAAAUCAAUGAGAUGUUCAAAAAUGAGAUGAUGAACAUUAUGAAAGCUAUUAGUGAACAAAUGUCUUGCCUUGUUGAAAAUCAAACUCCAACUAUAGAACUUAUAUACCACGAAUUGGAAAGUUAUACUUCUGGAUUAUGAAGUAUAAACUUUAAACAAAUCAAUCACACUACUCAAUUUUGUCCUUAGUUUUUACAACAACCACUUAUAGAAAAGAAUCAAUUCCAACCUUAUAGAUUUUCUCACCAUUCAAAAUAAGUAGGUCUUAGUCUUCUUUCCAAUUAAAGGAAUAAUACAACACCUUAUCUUACUUGUGAAAAACCACAUCAGGUAGGUCAAUGUUGGAUUGAGAAUGAAAUUAUAUGUUCAAAUUGUGGAAGUUUUCAUCCUACAGAUCGUUGUAGAAGAUCCAACCAAGUUAAUUCCUCAACUUCUUCUUCAAGUGAUUAUAAUAACCAUAUCAGAGGGAAUAUAGAAGGAGUUAGAUUUGUAAAUCCUAUUGUUACAAAAAAUCCAUCAAACAUAUAUUAUAAUCUUUGAAGCAAUGGUCAACACCAUCAUCUUCUAAUAAUAGUUAAAAUUGAUCAAAGAAUAUUACAAGCAUCUGUAGCAUAUACUCAAAACCAAAACCAAAAUCAAUAGCCACAUUUUUUUCAAUAUGUUAGAUAUACAGUGGCUCAACCUAAUGUACCUAUUACAUCAAUCUUACCAUCUCUUCAAUUCAACUUGGUCCAACUAAACAAAAAUGAGAUCUUCAAGAAUAAUGUAUAUUUACCUUCUCUAAUUAUAAUUAGAAGUAUGAGUGCCAAAAAACCAAUAGAUUUAGCACCUCUUGAAGAUGAUGAAAUAUCUUAAGAUACUUCAGAAGAAUCACUUAAGUUUAUAGAAUUGACAAAAAUUAUUCAAAAGGUAGCUAAACAACUAAAACACGACCAAUCAUCUUCUUGGAUUGAAUCUAAUGAAGAAGAAUAUUGAUUUGUGGACAAAGAAGGAUCUUGGACUUCUAAUAUCUUAUUGAAACAUCCAACAAUUAUUAGAACCUUCAAUCCUACAGAAUCAUAUGAUUUAUGGAAAGACCUUUGUAAGGCUAGAGCCAAUAUUUUUUUUAGUCAAUUAGUUCAAGUAGCACCAAUCAUCAAAAAAGACCUCAAAGAAGUUAUAAUUAUAAGAAGUUAUAAUUAUAAGAAAAAUAAAAAAUAUAGAAGGAAUAGCUAGAUUUGAAGUUAGAGAUUUAGAAGGAGAUAUUAUCUCGGAAGAAGAAAAAGAUAAUAGAGAAUAUGGACCUAUUGAGAUAGAUGUAAAAAUAGUAGAUAAAAUAAUUUCUAAGGUGAUAGUCGAUGAUGGAAGUAGCAUCAAUAUUGUGCUUGAAUCCACCGUGAUCAAAUUGGAAUUGAAAAUCACUCAUAAGGCAGUUAUGAACGUGAGACUAGCUGAUUGGAGACCUUCUCAAUCUUUAGGUCAAAUUUGAGACCUUUAUAUGCGAGCAAGAAGUGUAAAUUAUGUGGUAUUAUUUUAUGUCAUACGCUUAUAUGAAAAAAUGGAUGACUACCGUCUAUUGUUAGAAAGAGGAUGAUUGAAGCAAUCUAAAGGAGUAACAAAUUGGGGGCUUCUAAGCCUUAUUUUAUUUUUGGACCUUUAAAAAAUUGCACAAAAAUUAUAGUAUUUAGUCACUUUAGACUCCAAUCCUUGGCUCCAUUAGAAAAAACACCAAUAUCUAUAGGUGCCAAACAAAGUAAUUUUAUCCAAUCCAAUUCGACUUCAACAAUCAUACCAAUAAAAUGUAUUGGUCUUGGAUUGUAUGAAUAUGAAGAUGAGGGUGAUUUUGCCAAAUGGUUAGAAGAAAAUCCAUAUGAAGAUGAAGACAUCCAUAUUUGAUUUAUAGAAGUAAUUGAUUGAUUAGAACUUAAAGAUGAUUGUCCAGAUCUUACAAUCUUAGUUGAUGAUAUUUGUAUAAAUAAAGCUUUUAGUUUAAAAAUGGAUGGAACUCAAGUAGAUGAUUUGGAUACUAUUAUGAAAGAAAAAACCAUCAUGCCUUUUCCUUUAUAAUUCAAACAUACUCCACAAGGCAUUAAAGUUGAACAUGAUAUAUCGACUUAUCCAAUAGUACCUAAAGAUUCGUACCAUGGACCUACUGACUCCAUACAUGUGAUAGAACAAGAUUGGAUCAAAAUUCCAAUCAAUUGUGAUGAAGAAGAAUCCAAAUAUGUCAAAUUUGGAUUCCAAUUAGGUGAAAAAGAACUUAAGAAAUAUAAAUCAUUAGUAAUGAAAUAUCACAAUAUAUUUGUGUGGUCUUAUAAAGAUUUAAAAGAUAUUCUUCUUAGCAUUUAUCAAUACACUAUUCUACUUCUUUCAAAUACAACACCUAUUAGACAAAAACAUAGAAGACUCAAUCCUAGGAUGUAAUUCAUUGUGAAAACAGAAUUAAAAAAGCUACUUCAAGUGGGAUUUAUAAAGCCUAUGGAAAUUAUAGAUUGGUUGUUUUAUAUUAUCUUGGUAAAGAAAAAUGAAGAAAAUAAACUUAGGAUGUGUAUGGAUUAUCGGGAUCUAAAUAAGUACACUCAAAAAGACUAUUUUCUAUUACCUUUUAUGACUUUUAUAGUAGAUGAUGUGGCAAGUCAUGACAUCUAUAGUUUUAUGGAUGGCUACUUUAGUUACAAUCAAGUAUCAAUAGCUCCUGAAGAUUGGCAUAAGAUUGCAUUUACAUCACCUUAAGAAACCAUUGUAUAUGUAAUAAUGCCUUUCCGCUUGUGCAAUGCUUCUUUGGCUUUUCAGAGAGUCAUGACCUAUGCAUUCUCAGACCUUCUUUAAAAGACUUUUUCAAUUUUUAUUGAUGACUUUAGUUAUCAAUCUUCAAAAAAUGAUCGCCUUAUAAGCCUCCAAUUAUGCUUUCAAUGUUGUAGAAGAGUAGGAAUUUUUAUCAACCUAGACAAGGUUUAUUUGGCAAUUAAAAAAAGAGUUUUACUAAAUUAUGUCAUUUCUAAGAAGAAAAAAGAACAUGAUCCUGAAAAGGUAGAGGUUAUUGCAAAUCUACCACCUCUAAAUGGAAUAAAAGACAUUCAAAAUAUUUUAGGACAUAUGGAUUGGUAUCAUAAUUUGAUUGAAUCAUAUUCUAUUCAUGCUUUUCUAUUGACUAAUUUGUUAAAUAAGACCAUCAAAUUUGAAUGGACUUCCGAAUGCCAAAUUGGUUUUGAUGCAAUUAAAGCCAAAUUGCUUUUAUAUCCUUAUCUACUACCACCAAAUUGGCAUCAACCUUUUUAUAUCUAUUGUCAUGCCUCUAAAUUAGCAAUAGGUAGUGCCUUAUGCCAACUAGAUGAUAAGGAUGUAAUUCAUCCUAUUACUUUUGCUAGUAAACAAUUGACAAAUGUUGAAUACAACUAUAUAACUAGAGAACAAAAAUGUUUGGCUAUACUUUAUAGUAUCAAAAAAUUCCACCAUUAUCUUUUGUUGAACAAGGUUAUUUUCUUUGUAGAUCACAUGGCCCUUAGAUAUAUUGUAAACAAAUCAAAUUUAAGUGGCAGAUUAGUAAGGUGGAUAUUACUUCUAUCAGAAUUUGAUUAUACAAUGGUAUAUAAACUAAGAAAAUAACACAAAUAAGCCGAUUACCUUUCACAAUUAUCUACAACCAUUGAUAUCUAAGAUGUAGAUGAUGAACUUUCUGAUGCUCAUUUCUUCCAUGUUAUGAUGGCACCUACAUGAUAUAAACAUAUUGCUCAAUUUUUGAAUAGUCAAAAAUUAUCCAAUGUUCUAUUUAAAAAUGAAUGAUGGAAGAUUAGAGUAAAUAGUAUCCAUUUUGCUCUUCUGGCCAAGAAAUUAUAUCAUCAAGGAAUUGAUGGAAUUUUAAGAUGUUAUCUUACUUAUGAAGAAGUACCACUUGUAAUAGAAGCUUGUCAUUCAAGUACUUGUAGUGGACACAUCUCUAUUUAGUUAACAAUUCAAAAAAUUCUUAAAGUAGGCUAUUUUUAGCCUAUAAUGUUUAUCAAUUUAGAGUCUUAUGCAAGAUCUUGUGAUGCUUUCCAAAGAUAUGUAUGCAAUGAUUUAAAUCUUGUGAUGCCUUUAAAUCCCUCACUCCUACUUGUUCUAUUUGAAAAAUGGAGUAUAGAUUAUAUUGGACCGGUUUAUUCUGCAUCUUCACGUCAAAUGUAAUAUAUCAUUGUAGCUACAAAAUAUUUGACCAAAUGGGCAAAAAUAAAAGCUAUGAAGAAGGCGGAUGCUAAAUAAAAUGCUAUAUUCUUAUAUGAAAAUAUCAUAGCUCGUUUUGGUUGUCCAAAAAUCCUUAUGAGUGACAAUGGCAUUUUUUUUAAAAUGAAGCUAUUAAAGAAAUGACUACAUUAUUUACCAUCAAUCAUAAGAAGACUACUCCCUAUCAUCUUCAAAUAAAUGGUCUUACAAAAAGAAUUAACAAAAACUUAGUUUGGAUAUUGAGAAAAAUUGUAAUGGAUUUUAAGUAUGAUUAGGAUCUUAAACUUACUUCAAUACUUAGGGCUUACCAAACUACUUACAAGGUUUCUACAAGAGCUACAUCUUUUUCUUUGGUGUAUGGAAUAGAAGCCAUUUUUCCAAUAGAAUUUGAAGUCCCAUCCUUACGCAUUGCUAUUGAUGAAAGAUUGAAUACUUUUUAAUCUUUGAAAGAGGGAUUAAAGCAUCUAAAAAGACUCAGUGAGAUUUAAAGAUUUGUAAUUCAACAAAUAGAAACAACUCAAAGGAGAAGGAAGGAGAUCUUUGAUAAAAAGAUAAAAAAAAUGUCUUCUCAUUCCGAAAAUGUGGAUGAUGGUUCAAGAUGCUAGGAAACUAGAAUUUUUAGUCAAAUUUGAUGCACUUUGGACCAAACCCUAUAUUAUCAAAGAAAUCUUUGAUAAUAAUUCAAUUCAACUUAAAACAUUAGAUAGAAAAGAUUUUCCUACACGAACUAAUGGAAGUCAUUGUAAGGAAUAUAUAGUGUGAAUAUUGGCUCCAAUACCAAUAUACAUUGUCAUUUUUCUUUUAUAAUAGUUCUAAGUCAAAUCUAUAGAUUAUUAUCUCUUAGUAUACUUUGAUUGCUUGGCUCAAGGCACAAGCGGCGAGUAUGCUUAAGUAUUUUUUCUUGAAUCAUGGACAUCUUCCAUGUGGUCUAUAGAACUCGAUUUUAUCGUUAUAAAUUACAAUCAUGUAGUCUUAGUUCAAAUCUCAAUAGAAAUAUAGUACUAUUAAAACUUAAAGUAGUAUCUGAGCUAGAAUUUGCUAUACUUAGAAAUAUAUUGAGUUUAAACCAAAUGAUUAUCUUUUUUUAUCUCUAGGUCAAUAUUUUAAUAAUUUUACUUAUAUUCCACUUCUUCUAAUAGAUGACAAUGUCUUUUUUGAUAAUAUUUUAUAUUUUAUUUUAUUUUAAUUUUCUAUAUUUUUCAUAGACUGUAUCAAAUGUAAGAGUUGGAUUUUCUCUAUUUUUACAAAUAAUCCCAAAUAGUCGCCAUCAAUGGAUCUUAAUUUGUGGAUUAAUUAAAAAUAUAGUAUUGAGACACUUAAUAAGAUAAAUAUUAAGGUUAAAGAUUCUUUUUGAUUAUUUAUAUAUUUAUUAGAAUUUAGAAGUAUUUAUAAGUAUAAAAGUCUUUUUAGAAGAAAAGUUACAAAAAUAAAGUCUUAAUAAGUCUUGGAGACAAUUAUCUUAGUUGGUGUAGUAUUUCCACUCAUUAUUGAAUAUUAAUGAUUAGUAAUUGAGAUCAAUGUCUUCAUUGGCUUUCUAUCUAUAUGUAUUACUUAUGAAAUCCUAUCAAUGAUUAGUUAAUGGUUAGAAGAAGCAUGAAAAAGAACUUCAUGUCUUUUUAGUUAAUUAUAUAAAAAAUAAUAUUUUUAGUGGAUUUAAAUUAAUUUUAUUACUAUAAAAAAUCACCAAGAUAAAAAAAUACAGCCUUAUAUGAAUAUUAGAAUUAUAUAAAUAUUAAAAUAUUUUUUAUAAUUUAUAUAGAAUUUAUUUAGGAUUUUUUAUGAAUUUUUAGAGAAAAUUUUAAGACCAUGGUAAAAUUGAGUUUUUCCACCUUGAGAGCCGUUAUGAAGAAAUGAAGCAAGAUUUGAAGACUAUACAAGGUUUCUACACUAAUUGGGUGUUUUUGAACACCUUGGUGAAGUCAAAAAUACAAAAAAAGUAGUUUUACUAGUGGAAAAUAGGAGGACCAACAGCUAGUGUAGUCCUUAUAGGAAGAAAGGUGCACAAUUCCCAUAUAUUCCCAAGGGUUGUAGCACCUCUCCUCCUACAAGGACUACCUAUACAAGGGUAUAGGUAGGAAGAUAAGACUAAGGCCUGAAGGCCUCUUUAGACAACCAAUAUACACUACUUUUGAGCCUUCGAGAGGCUCGAAUUCUUGAUUUCUUAAGCAAGUUAUCCUUGAGGUAAAAAUUACUCACUUAACUUUUCUAUUAUGUACAUCCUAUAUUUAAUCUAUCAUAACUUAUUCAUAGUAACUUAGAAUUACAUGAUUUUUAUGUCAUUGGAAAGAUAAAAAAAUUAUCUAUCUAAAUAUAUAAAAUUUUUUUUAACUUUUUUCUGGAUGAAAAUCUAGUGAAAAGAUUGUGACUAGUUUUAUAGUAUACAAUUGCUUGAUUGCACUUGUUUACUUGUUUUGUAUUGUUCUUCUUUUGUUCUUGUUUAUUACUACUUCUACUUCACACCACCAAUUACAAGCAAUUCUUAAUUGAGGCAAUCUUGUAAUUUGGAGUGAGGGAGAAAUUUAUCCUCGCAUACUUGUUAUUUAAAUAUAAUAUAAUUAUAAAGUAGCUUAUCUUGUCAACAAUAAAAAUUGUAGCUAAUAUAGUACCAUUUGAGAACCUUCACAUCAAUGUGGUUCCUUACACAAAUACCUCGCAAUAAUAAACAUCAUCUUAGAACAUACUUGCCUUACCAUCUCAUAUUCACGUAUUUUUGUUUCUUUGUCUUCUUAUUUUUUGUUUCUUUCUCUAGUGUUUUUUUCUUCCUCAACAAUGACAUUUUGUCUUCUUAUGUAAAAUUUUCUACCGCAUCUAAGAUAUAUGUAUGGAUCAUCAUCCAAGACAAUAAGUGGGUUGAUAGUGUAGUUUUAAAAAGCUAUUAUCGCUAGCCCUUAUCUAUCAUAAAUAAAAAGAGGUAUCAUUCUUGUACUACCAUCGAUCAUUUCCUCUCAAUAGAUAUAAUUGAUCAUUGACAUUAUGUUACCAUUUUUGGAUGUAUAUCAUCCUAGAGGUUGAUCAAGAAUAUCAAAAAAAAAAAAAAAAAAAAAAAAAAAUGAUACUAAAUACAAGGGCCUAUAAGAAUAAUAUAACAAGGAAUCCAAGUAGAAGAAAUCAUUUGCCAAUAUUGAUGUCCAUACCAUUGUGGUUGAUUCAUGGUACCAUAAUCUAUAUAAAAUAGUUUAAAAAUAAUAAUUUAGAAAAUUUGGUUGUAAUAUUAAAUCCUAGACUAUAUAAUACAUAAGUUGGUUAUAUUGGCCAAUAAAGAAACUACAAGGUGACAAUGUUAUAAAGACUUUAUCUAAGAUACAAAUCAUGCAUAUUACAAGCUCAUUACAAUAUUAUAAAUAUAGAUCAAUCAAUUAAACUAAGAUAUAGUCCAACUAUGCUAUAUUCUAUUGAUAUCCACAAGCAUUUAAGACAUAAGAAAUGCAUUGCACGAGAUAAAAAAACAUGUGGUGUCGGCUCAAAGAAAAAAUAUCAUGCGAUUUACAAAGAAUAAGAGUCAUAAUAGAAAGCAACUUACAUAAGCUAUGGAACAAAAUUCAAGUGAUACAAUAAAAACAAAAGAUCCUCAAAGUCCUAAAAAAUAUUAUGCAAAUUUGAAUCAAAGAAAUGAAAGCUCUCAACUUUAUAUUCUAAAAAAUUCAAGUGACAUCAAUAUUUGCAAUCAAUGGGCUACAAUUGCAUCUCAAAGGUGCAACAUAAAGAAUGAAGAUAACAAGUAAGAAGCAUCUACUUCUAUUAGCAAAAUAAGAUUAUGAUAUACAUAUCCUAAUUUAGAUCAAUCUAAUAAUGACAAGAGAAUAUUUACUACUUAAUGCACCAUUAGUUAUUUUAAUAAUCUCACAUCCCUAGCAAUUAGAAAAAGAUAUAAAUUCACCUCACAUAUUUUUUUCAUGCACAUCUAAUUACGAUAAGCAAUUGUAUGUCCUUGAUAGUGCAUUGGACCACAAGUUUGUCUGACUUGAUGCUUGUGGCUAUUGAAUAAUGCUAGUGGUAUAGUAUGAGGUAUAAUUUAUAAAUCUAAUCACUAAGCACAAGUUUAAUAACAACAAUGCAUACAAUAGCAACUUAGAUGGCAAGAUUGAUAAUAUAAAUGAAACAAAAUGCAUAAUCUUGAAUUAUUUUGCUAAACAUCCAUAUUUCAAAGAAAAAAUAUUCCAACCACACUAAUAUGGUGGAUUCUUUGGUCUAUGCAAAAUGUAUAUGCAACUUAAUUUUUUGAUGUUGUCAUGAUGUAACACGACUAAUAGGUGAAAGAGUAUGGAAACUAUUGUAAUUUAAGAGAUCUUAGUUCAAAGUAUUAGAAUAAGUUAUCUUAGAAAUAUAGUUAAUAGUCAAAGGGGUAGAAAAAUUAAAAGGUACCAAUGCUACCUAUUAGAAAUGUGACUUCUACUUACUUUGUAGCACCAUAAGUAAGGAAAAAUAAGGUAGAUUGGAAAAUAAUGAUACAGACAUCUUUAGGAGGAAGUUAAAAGUAAAUUCUAGAAAAAAAUACUUAAAAAAACUAGAUAUUGAUACCCAAAGAGGGCCGGUUAUGAAUCAGGGUCAAAAUCAGACCCUAAGGCACAAAAUUGAGUCUCGACGAUGACUCCAGGGUUCUUUUGAAGAUUGGAGAGUGAGGUUUGAUAGCACACUAAAUAGGCUUUCUAUGAGCAUUGAUUUUUGGUGAUUUGGAGUUGAUAUGAAUUUGUAAGAGCUUUGCAAAGUCAAGGUUUGUUUUGGAUGACUUGGGUUUUAUGAAAUAUAAUAGGAUUUAUGUUUUGGAUGUUUUCAAGAGUUUUGUAAUAGAUCUAUGGGUGAAAUUUUGUAGGUUUAUGGUUAUAAUUGUGUUUAAUAUGUGACAUAAAUUUGAGCUUGAUCUAACGGUUGAAUUGAGGGAUAUUAAGGUUUAAGUGGAUCAAGGUCUUAGAAAGUAGAAUUUUAGGUCUAGUGGGGGUUUUUGGGAUUUCUUGCAAUCAACUAGUUGGAUUGGAGUGAAACUUGCGUGAGAGGAUAUUAGACUUGUUUUUCUAUGUAUAUGAGAAUUUUGAGAUCAAUCGAAUGGUGCAAAAGAGAGAUAUUGGCUCUAGAAGAUUGGCAUCAAGAUUGGAGAAAGAGGCCGGCCAAUACCUGAGCACAUUUUUGAGGUUGUCGUCAAUUUGGUAAUUCCGAUCCUUUUCAAUUUUCUUGUGCUUGUUUUUAACUUAUUUUUUUAGAAGUAUGAAAAAUUUGAGUUAAGAUCAACGGUUUAUUCAUUAGUAAUUGAGGUUUAAAUAUGUUAUAGGAAUUAUUAGGGCUUGAUUUAGGGUUUGGUUAGGGUUUGAUUUAGGAUUUAGGGUUUGGUUCGGAUUUGGUUUAGGGUUUAGGGUUUGGAUUAUGGUUUGAUUAGGGUUUGAUUUAGGAUUUAGGAUUUGGAUUAGGGUUUGGUUUGGGUUUGAUUUAGGAUUUAGGAUAUGGUUUAGGAUUUGGUUAGGAUUUGGUUUAGGAUUUGGUUGGGAUUUGGUUUAAGGUUUUUUUAGGGUUUGAUUUAGGAUUUAGGAUUUUAUUAGGAUUUAAGAUUCAGUUAUUUUUGGCCUAAAGUUUGAAUGAAGUUCAAUAGGAUUUUAACUAGAAUUAAAUUAAGAUUGAAUUGAGAUGUAUUUGAGUGAUAUUUGUGUUCUUUCUAAUGUUUCUUUAAGAAUUCUUAUUUUUUGUUUGAAAUUUCUUUGAGGUUUUUUUGAAUUUGAUUAAGCUUGCUUAGCAUUAUUAUGGUCUAAUUAGAGCAUUGUUAGUAUUCUAUUAGAAUUAGGAUUUUGUUAUUGCAAUUUCCAUUGUUCCUUCCAUAGCCAGAUACUCGGAGCAUUCUCAAGCAAGACUUCACGAAUUACGACAACGUCUAUCAAUAUGUAUCAAAAAU